rnacentral:rRNA from 2 species
GAAGUCUGAUGGAGCAACGCCGCGUGAGUGAUGAAGGUUUUCGGAUCGUAAAACUCUGUUGUAAGGGAAGAACCAGUACGUCAGGCAAUGGACGUACCUUGACGGUACCAGAGGAGGAAGCCACGGCUAACUACGUGCCAGCAGCCGCGGUAAUACGUAGGUGGCGAGCGUUGUCCGGAUUUACUGGGCGUAAAGGGUGCGUAGGCGGAUAUUUAAGUCAGAUGUGAAAACCCCGGGCUUAACUUGGGGACUGCAGUUGAAACUGGAUAUCUAGAGUGCAGGAGAGGAAAGCGGAAUUCCUAGUGUAGCGGUGAAAUGCGUAGAGAUUAGGAAGAACACCAGUGGCGAAGGCGGCUUUCUGGACUGUAACUGACGCUGAGGCACGAAAGCGUGGGUAGCAAACA